AUACGUAGGUGGCAAGCGUUGUCCGGAUUUACUGGGCGUAAAGGGCGUGCAGGCGGUUCGUUAAGUCUAGGGUGAAAGCUCCCGGCUCAACUGGGAGAGGUCCUUGGAUACUGGCGGACUUGAGGGGGGUAGAGGAGAGUGGAAUUCUCGGUGUAGUGGGGAUAUGCGUAGAUAUCGAGAGGAACACCAGUGGCGAAGGCGGCUCUCUGGGCCCUAACUGACGCUGGGACGCGAAAGCGUGGGGAGCGAACCGGAUUAGAAACCCCGGUAGUCC
rnacentral:rRNA from 1 species